ACGCCAAAGGACUUCAUUUCCCAGGAUGCACCUGCACCCACUCAUCUGCCUUCAGGUGCGACCGCUUUACCUAUGGGCUUGACGGGAAGAUUCAAAAUCGCGAACCGUUACUGCAUGGAGUUGGUCUCUUUGUUUGCUCAUCGACAUUACGAGAAAUAUAAUGAAGUAACAGUGGGGGCAAAACAUCAGACUGAUCCAGACACUGAAUAAAUUGAUGUCACUGCAAUCUGGCCAAAAUGAUACAACUAUAUUGAAGUAGCCUACUGUAAUGAAGCUGCAGAACAACACAGAGACUCUGAGGACAUCAACACAGAAAAUGAAGGCUCCAAAGAGAUGUCUGUCCAGAUGAGGGUGCAUCAACUUUACCUUUGCUGACAACAGUUAACUUAACUCAAACCAUUUAAGGAAAUCGGUUGCCUUAAACCAUUAAGUUUUAAAAAACAUACAUUUGAGUACUGUGAACUUAAGUCUUGUGCAAUUAUGCACUUAUAUUUAGGUAGUGUGAACUUAAAUAUAAGUGCAUAACUGCAUGUGACUCAAUUUUUUUAAGUUCACAGUACUCAAAUCUAUGUGUUUUAAAACUUGAAUGGUUUUAAAUGUGAGAAAUUACAGUGUUACAGUGAGAAAUGUUUGAAUAAUUCCAAGACAGAGCUCUGCUAUUGAAUCUACACUGCAAAAAAUCACUUUCUAACUUAGGAUUUUUAUCUUGUUUUCAGUAGAAAAACUAAAAAUUCUUAAAUCAAGAUGUAUUUUUUUGAUGAGCAAAAUUACCUAAGAAAAUAUGUGUAGUUUUUAGACAAAAAUAUACAAUUUAAGUAAAUUUGUGCCUAAACAAGCAAAAAUAUCUUAACAAUGGAUUGAGAAAAUUGUGCUUAAAUUAAGUUUUUAUGAAAAAAGAAAACGUAAGAUUUUUUUCUCACACCAUUGGCAGAUAUUUUUGCUUGUUUUAAGCACAAAUUCACUUAAUGUGUGUGUGUGUUUAUUUAUUUUGUCUAAAACUAGACUUAUUUUCUUAGGUCAUUUUGUUCAUCAAGAAAAAGCAUUUUAAUUUAAAUAAUAUUUCUACUAAAAACAAGAAAAUAAUACUAUGUAAGAGAGUAAUUUUUUUGCAGUGUAGGACUGAUUUCUUAAAGCAAGAUCAAUAUAGUUGUUGUUUAUUUUAUUUAGAUAUUUACUACAUUACAGUGGCAGCUGGUGACUUGUUUUUUGUGAGCACUCGAUGCGAAGUUUGUCACAACAUGUAUAUAGCCCGUCAUUUGUGUGGUUCCCAAUUUCAAAAUAUGUGUUCUGCGUGUCGAGUGCGUGUAUGUGCAUCACGUGUUUUGACUAAACACGUGAUGCACAUGGUUUACAUGAAGCAACAAACACAUUUUAAAAACACAAGCAACACACAUGACACUCCGAACACUUAUUUUGAAUUUGCAACCGCCACUGCUACAUUACAUUGUACUUUUUUGAAUUUAGUUUUCAUUGUUGCUUUUAUUUUGUUUUAUUUUACUCUAAUAUUGCUUUCUCUGUCUGUAUAUUUAUAAGUUUAAAUAGUAUUGUUUAUGUAUGCAACUUCUAAUAUUUAUGUGUAAUAUUAUUUUGUGAUUGUGACAAUUGUGGAUUGUUCAGUUUUUUUAUUAAAUAAACAUUUCAAACUCAAUUCAAGUUUUUAUUUUUUUAAGGUUUUUGGGGGUGUAUAGUAGGAUAUAGUGGGGGGGGGAUUGUAGUCCAUCUGCAUAGCAGGCAAAUAACCAAUCAAGUCACUAAACUAUGAGGGCUUGGGUUGGGCUAAAUACAAAGUGUAACCAAUCAAAUCAUCUCAACUGGAAAGUUUCAAA